UUAAUAACGUUUACAAUUUAUUUUGGAUUAACCACUGACAUUUACAAUCUUGCAAAUACAAUUCACCCAAAACAUAACUUUAUAGCAAUUAAGGAGACAACGUUAAGCAUCCUUUUUAAAUUCUUAGUUCCAUAGUUUUCUCCUACAACAAAACAAUGGUAAUUUUGUCAAAGUUUAGCAAUUCUAAUAUACUGCAUAUCCUAAGUAUUAUUCAAAUUAGUGAGUAAAAUGUUUUCCAUUUAAUACUUCCUAUGGGGAACAUAGCAGUUAUUGUCAAUUAAGAUUGUUUUCCAAUUUUCACUAAGGAAAGAAAAGCUUAAUAAUGUAACUUUCUGCAGUGUAAAAAGUACAUCAUUAAAAUCGGUAGCAUAAAUAUAUUGUAACAAUGUCUAUACAUAUUUAAAUAUGCCUUUGAGAACUUGGUAUGACUGUAAAGUCAGAGUAAAAUACACAGAUAGAUAUACUUCCCAAUACUUUUUACUCGUUUCAAAGAUUUCAUCAAAUAUAAAUUUUAUUAUCAGUUGCCUCUUUGACAAAUUCUAAUUGUAAUAAAUUAACUGAGAAAUUACUCUAUUAUGAACAAUUAUAAAAUUAUGUACUAUGGUUCAAUGUCUUUUUGGUAACUAAAUGGCAGUUUACGGAGCUAAUAUUGCUGUGCUCUCCAAAUGAGGCCAGUCAUUAAAAAUAUGAGAUACAUAAAUACUAAAACUUCCAAUAUGACUAUAUUCACAGAAAUAUUGUCCCUGCUGGAAGGACCUUGAGACAUCUCCUGUCCAUCUCUAGUCUAUGGUUGAGAAGCUCAUCAGUUCAAUUUCAGCAAGUUAGUUGUGGCGAGCUCUAUGGGCUAAGCCAUUCAUCGCCUGUUUCCUAAGCGAAGAUGAUGUGUAGCAUGUCAUACUGACUCUCUCUCAAACACAUACAUUACCUUAAUAUAGGUCUUGUAAAGUAAUCUAAAUAAGCACAUUUUAAUAUAAACUUGCAUGUUCUACUGUGUAGGUUUUUUUAUCAUCGUUUUCUUUUGGCAGAACCGCACAAAAAUAUAUUUUAGAAAAAAACAGCCCAGGGUUUGCUGCAUUAUGAGUUCUCACGAUUAUUUUCCUUUGCUUAAUUUGACUGAAUUAUACCCUAGAAAGUGUAGGAAUAUACCGAAAUUGAAGUGUUCUUAGAAAUAUGCCAUAGAAAUUCUCCAAGAAAAAUAUUAAUCUAACCCCAAAACUAGAAUACAUGGCUGUACUCAACUUCAUUAUCAGCGAAUAGACAUUGUCUAGCCUCAUCUGUCUUUCUUUUCUUAAAUAUAUGACAGAUACACCACUUAUUCUGAUUCUACAUUAUAUAUUUCCUUUCAUAUGUAAAGAAUGUAUAUAUUUCUCUCCUGAAUUACAUACCCACCAAAUUUUUUUUUAGUAAUAUAACACUAAUAAACUUCCUAAAGUAGAGCUGUCCGAAACCUAGUAAACGUGACAGGCUUUGUCAUAGAAGAGGGUUACAGUGCUUUACAAUGCUUAUAAAUGUGACCUAAUUAUAUUUUGUUCUCUUAAAUUCAAAGAUGAUGUAUAGAAACUGAUGAAUCAAAACAUGUUUUAGAUACCUUUUGGCCAUAAUAUAGACAGUGUUUUUAGAAAUAAAUUAAUAAAUUGCUUCUGAGCAGUAAACAAUGGUCAGUGAUAUUUAGAUAAUAAAGUUAUUAACUUCAGAGACACCCAGAUCUUAUAUCCAGUAAGGAUUUAUUAGAAAAACAAAUAUUAAAUAAUUUAUGAUUUAAAAUGGUUCAAAUAAAGAUCUGAGGGAGAAUAUAAUCAAAUCAUUUCUCAAACAAUUUGAAAUAUAGA
rnacentral:lncRNA from 1 species